UAAAACGUAGGAGGCAAGCGUUAUCCGGAUUUACUGGGCGUAAAGGGCAAGUAGGCGGUGACUCAAGUUGGGCGUGACAUCUCCCGGCUCAACUGGGAGGGGUCGUCCAAAACUAGGUCACUAGAGGACAGGAGAGGGAAGCGGAAUUCCUAGUGUAGCGGUGGAAUGCUCAGAUACUAGGAGGAACACCAGUGGCGAAGGCGGCUUCCUGGCCUGCACCUGACGCUGAGAGGCGAAAGCUAGGGGAGCAAACGGGCUUAGAUACCCCGGUAGUCCUAGCCGUAAACGUUGGAUACUGGGUAUUGGGGGUAUAGAUCCCCUCAGUGCCGAAGCUAACGCGUUAAGUAUCCCGCCUGGGGACUACGGCCGCAAGGUUA
rnacentral:rRNA from 1 species